rnacentral:other from 1 species
UACAUCCUGGGUUGUGCGUUAGAUUAUCUUGGUUUUGAUCCUAUUAGUGACAAGGGAACUAAAUGUCAAGUUAGUACAACAAGCCCUUUUCUUCCUGAAUAAGGGAAGUUGGAAAGCUUGGACUAGGUGCCCACCUGCGAGAGCAGGGUCAGAAACCUGGAGUCUUACGGCAAGUUGGGGAAGGGU